UAUCAGACUUGUUGCAAGGUUGUUCCAACAUGUCAGACACAGUCAUGAUAUAACAAUACUGUUACAAGCUUAUGUCGUCAACCUUGUAACAUCCUUGUUAUAUCAUGGCUGUAUCAGACUUGUUAGAAACAACCUUGUAACAAGUCUGGUA